rnacentral:rRNA from 1 species
UGCCAGCCGCCGCGGUAAUACGGAGGGUGCAAGCGUUGCUCGGAAUCACUGGGCGUAAAGGGUGCGUAGGCGGCCUUUUAAGUCAGAUGUGAAAGCCCUCGGCUCAACCGGGGAACUGCAUUUGAAACUGAAAGGCUUGAGUACGGUAGAGGGAAGCGGAAUUCCUGGUGUAGCGGUGAAAUGCGUUGAUAUCAGGAGGAACACCGGUGGCGAAGGCGGCUUCCUGGGCCGAUACUGACGCUGAGGCACGAAAGCGUUGGGUAGCAAACGGGAUUAGAUA